GCAGAAGAUGAACCAGCCAACGAUAGUUUUGAUACACAGGUGUAGGAGCCGCACCCUGAACUUCAGAUCUUAAUAGCAAUUAACCCUUGCCGUUUCAAGUAACUGGAAACGACAAGGGUAUGCCAUAGUGUAGAUGUUUGUUUCAAGUUAUCUCUAAAGCUCAGGUUCUACAUGAAGACAGAGUGAUCGCAGCACUAUUUCCACCCUGGUCCGGCAGCCCAAGGCCUUCACUUAAUGGUCGGUUGUUAACAAGUCAGGAAGACAGCACUAAGGACACUCAGAUGAUCUAUCAUAGACAAUGUGUCUGAUCAUGGAAGAAAAUGGUCAGAUGAAUACUGAACCUACAAGAUGAGUGCACCAAUAGGCCAGGGAAACACUUUUCAUUGAAAAUAUCUGUAAUAUCAGUCGGCCACCACACAAUUAAGACAGAGAUGGAAACACACCUACAAGUCGUGAGAAAGGACCAGACAUUGUUGGUUGCUGAGGCUCUGGACGCCAUCUUUGACAUGGAUCAUCUGGACCUGUUGUCAUGGAGAUCAGGAUUCAUCAACUAAAGAGAAACCUAGGAGACUACCUUCUUAUCAGCAUGACAGCAAGGACAAAUCUGAUUUACUUCAUCAAAUGCAAAUCUUGACCAGUAGAACUAAUAAGGACAUGUUUUUAUUCUCAAAGUUACUUACAACUCAACAGUAAUUUGGAUCACAGAAAUAAUUAGUGAACCACUUCAAGUUCCAUAGUUUUCUGGUGUUCAGUUUUAUAUCAGGCAACACUGAUAUUUAGUAUUAAUAUUUUUUAUUAUUUUUUCCACAACUUUUAUGAUAGCCCCAUUAGAAGAUUUGUGUGUUAUCACAAGAGACUGAUGUAAAACUUGUCUUUGUUCUUAGCCUUUUCUUUCAAAAUUAAAUAUCAAAAUGUGUGGAGCUGUAUUGUCUGUUUAAACUUUGACCCACUAACUGAGACAAUCAAGUGAUUAAAUUUCUUUUCUGAUUGCUCAUAAGCAAUAUGAUUUUUUUUUUUUUUUUUGAAGAAGAAGAAAUUAUGGUUUUUGUGAGGUUUAAGUAGUUGAAAUAUUGUCUACUCCACAUUGAAUUGGUUUGAUUUUAUUAAACU